UACCGAGUUUACACUCCCAAACCCAAUGUGAACGUUACCAAUCUGUUGCCUCGGCGGGAUUCUCUGCCCCGGGCGCGUCGCAGCCCCGGAUCCCAUGGCGCCCGCCGGAGGACCAACUCAAACUCUUUUUUCUCUCCGUCGCGGCCUACGUCGCGGCUCUGUUUUAUUUUUGCUCUGAGCCUUUCUCGGCGACCCUAGCGGGCGUCUCGAAAAUGAAUCAAAACUUUCAACAACGGAUCUCUUGGUUCUGGCAUCGAUGAAGAACGCAGCGAAAUGCGAUAAGUAAUGUGAAUUGCAGAAUUCAGUGAAUCAUCGAAUCUUUGAACGCACAUUGCGCCCGCCAGUAUUCUGGCGGGCAUGCCUGUCCGAGCGUCAUUUCAACCCUCGAACCCCUCCGGGGGGUCGGCGUUGGGGAUCGGCCCCUCACCGGGCCGCCCCCGAAAUACAGUGGCGGUCUCGGCGCAGCCUCUCCUGCGCAGUAGUUUGCACACUCGCACCGGGAGCGCGGCGCGGCCACAGCCGUACAACACCCCAAACUCUGAAAUGUUGACCUCGGAUCAGGUAGGAAUACCCGCUGAAC
rnacentral:rRNA from 1 species